CUACUUUAUGCAUACACCUUCCCCCGAUAUUAGUGCGUAGCUGAUAAAUGUUCUAAUAUUACUCUUACUACUUGAGCAAGCCUUUUACUAAAUACGCUUUUUUCUCUCUCUAAGAGGCUUCUUAUUUUCAAGAUCACUUUUCACUCUGGUGCUUUGACAUUCUUCUUUGCUUUAGGAGGAGAUUGCUCUGUUUUUCGAGAUGAGAAGGGACUAUAAUUAGUUAACUAAAACAUCCUUUUGUACCAAUAAAUAUGGUGUGUCUAAAUAUUUUGGCUUUCGGUAAUAUUUUAACAGAAAUAGGAAAUAGAUAUUUUUUUUUUCUUUUCAUUUUAAUUGUUUUUUUUUUAAAUAUUUCUGCAGUGGUAUUGUCUAUUCACAGCUGUGUACAGGAGACCAGGUGAUCCCCUAUGUGGUGAUGUCACAAGCCAGAGGCGGACAUUGGAAUGAACUACUCGCACUCAAGUAGGUUCUUGGUGAAGAUACUCCUUUCUCUGAAAAUAGGACCUUGGCUGCUGUACAUGAAGUGAAGCUGAAAAUACAGGGAGAGGUUACAUAAGGGAAGAGAAUGUCUGAAGAUUUCUGGGAUGUUUUUACCUACUCCAAUAUCCUGACAACUGUGUUCUCAAUAAAUAUGAAUCUCAUUGUCAACAAAACGUUUGAGAAACAUAGCUGUAUCUGAACUUAAUUGUGACACCAUAGCUAGUGUUACCAUAAAACCUAGUAUUACAGUUUUUUUAUCUAUAUUUUAUAAAUAAAUUGUGUAUUGUUAAUCUUUAAAUAGUGUUAUCAAAAAUAAACUUUUGGUGUUGCCUAAAGAAAA